UUCCGGUUGACCCUGCCAGAGGCCAUUGCUAUCGGUGUCCGAUUUAGCCAUGCGAGUCGCACGGGUUCAGACCCGUGGCGAACGGCUCAGUAACACGUGGCCAAACUACCCUGUGGACCAGGACAACCUCGGGAAACUGAGGCUAAUCCUGGAUAGCACUCCCACGCUGGAAUGCCGGGAGUGUGAAAGGCUCCGGCGCCACAGGAUGUGGCUGCGGCCGAUUAGGUUGAUGGUGGGGUAACGGCCCACCAUGCCGAUAAUCGGUACGGGUAGUGAGAGCUAGAGCCCGGAGACGGACUCUGAGACACGAGUCCGGGCCCUACGGGGCGCAGCAGGCGCGAAACCUUUACACUGCACGACAGUGCGAUAAGGGGACACCGAGUGCGAGGUCAUAGAGCCCUCGCUUUUCUGUACCGUAAGGUGGUACAGGAACAAGGGCUGGGCAAGACCGGUGCCAGCCGCCGCGGUAACACCGGCAGCCCAAGUGAUGGCCGAUAUUAUUGGGCCUAAAGCGUCCGUAGCUGGCCGCACAGGUCCGUCGGGAAAUCUGUUCGCUCAACGAACAGGCGUCCGGCGGAAACUGUGCGGCUUGGAACCGGGAGACCUGAGGGGUACGUCUGGGGUAGGAGUGAAAUCCUGUAAUCCUAGACGGACCACCGGUGGCGAAAGCGCCUCAGGAGAACGGAUCCGACAGUGAGGGACGAAAGCUAGGGUCUCGAACCGGAUUAGAUACCCGGGUAGUCCUAGCCGUAAACGAUGCUCGCUAGGUGUGGCGCUGGCUACGAGCCAGCGCUGUGCCGUAGGGAAGCCGUGAAGCGAGCCGCCUGGGAAGUACGUCCGCAAGGAUGAAACUUAAAGGAAUUGGCGGGGGAGCACUACAACCGGAGGAGCCUGCGGUUUAAUUGGACUCAACGCCGGG
rnacentral:rRNA from 1 species